rnacentral:rRNA from 1 species
GAAGGCCCUUCGGGGUACUCGAGCGGCGAACGGGUGAGUAACACGUGAGCAACCUGCCCUAGGCUUUGGGAUAACCCUCGGAAACGGGGGCUAAUACCGAAUAUUCACUUGCGGGCGCAUGUUUGUGGGUGGAAAGUUUUUCGGCUUGGGAUGGGCUCGCGGCCUAUCAGCUUGUUGGUGGGGUGAUGGCCUACCAAGGCGACGACGGGUAGCCGGCCUGAGAGGGCGACCGGCCACACUGGGACUGAGACACGGCCCAGACUCCUACGGGAGGCAGCAGUGGGGAAUAUUGCACAAUGGGCGGAAGCCUGAUGCAGCGACGCCGCGUGAGGGAUGACGGCCUUCGGGUUGUAAACCUCUUUCAGCAGGGACGAAGCGCAAGUGACGGUACCUGCAGAAGAAGCGCCGGCCAACUACGUGCCAGCAGCCGCGGUAAGACGUAGGGCGCGAGCGUUGUCCGGAUUUAUUGGGCGUAAAGAGCUCGUAGGCGGCUUGUCGCGUCGACUGUGAAAACCCACGGCUCAACUGUGGGCUUGCAGUCGAUACGGGCAGGCUAGAGUUCGGUAGGGGAGACUGGAAUUCCUGGUGUAGCGGUGAAAUGCGCAGAUAUCAGGAGGAACACCGGUGGCGAAGGCGGGUCUCUGGGCCGAAACUGACGCU